UGGCAGCAGUCGGGAAUAUUGCGCAAUGGAGGAAACUCUGACGCAGUGACGCCGCGUAUAGGAAGAAGGUUUUCGGAUUGUAAACUAUUGUCGUUAGGGAAGAGAAAGGACAGUACCUAAGGAGGAAGCUCCGGCUAACUACGUGCCAGCAGCCGCGGUAAUA
rnacentral:rRNA from 1 species